UGGGGAAUUUUGGACAAUUGGGCGAAAGCCUGAUCCAGCAAUGCCGCGUGUGUGAAGAAGGCCUUCGGGUUGUAAAGCACUUUUGUCCGGAAAGAAAUCCUUGGCUCUAAUACAGUCGGGGGAUGACGGUACCGGAAGAAUAAGCACCGGCUAACUACGUGCCAGCAGCCGCGGUAAUACGUAGGGUGCAAGCGUUAAUCGGAAUUACUGGGCGUAAAGCGUGCGCAGGCGGUUUGCUAAGACCGAUGUGAAAUCCCCGGGCUCAACCUGGGAACUGCAUUGGUGACUGGCAGGCUAGAGUAUGGCAGAGGGGGGUAGAAUUCCACGUGUAGCAGUGAAAUGCGUAGAGAUGUGGAGGAAUACCGAUGGCGAAGGCAGCCCCCUGGGCAAUACUGACGCUCAUGCACGAAAGCGUGGGGAGCAAACAGGAUUAGAUACCCUGGUAGUCCACGCCCUAAACGAUGUCAACUAGUUGUUGGGGAUUCAUUUCCUUAGUAACGUAGCUAACGCGUGAAGUUGACCGCCU
rnacentral:rRNA from 1 species